AAAGUCUGUAUGAACGCACUCAGCUCUUUUUGCACCUCUCUCCCUUCUGUCCAGUCAGUCAGAGAAUCUUCACUCUGUGGCACUGUUUACCGCUCCAUCUGCCUCCAAGGUCAUAUGGCUUUCCUGAAAGGAAUUAUUCACCCAUGGACACACCCAGGCUAGGAGAAAAAGCAGAUCCAAGGGGGAAGCCGUGACUCUAAAGUUUACCAGGAGCAAGACCCAGAGUUCUUUGGUUUCUUGGACUUGCUUGUGAAGUCAACAUGGCUUUAUCUCCUCAAAGCUGAAAGGCAUGCUGCAAAAUUAACACAGAGAAGAGAAAACAAGCCCAGGAUGGACGGACGUGCCGGCUGACUCUACAGUGACCGUCAUGCUUAUGAAGAUAAGAUGGUAGCUGUGUGCAGUCUCUCAUCAUGGCCAAGUCACCUUCUUCCUGAUUCGCAGAGCUGGAAAUAAAAACAAGGAGAGGCCAUUGGUUAAAGAAGUCAUUGGCAGAGCAAGCUGAAUGCUCUGCUUCCUUCAGUGUUGGCCCGUGACCAAGCAACAGGUUCAGGUCAUGAGCCUGGGCUUCAGGCUGUAGACAGGCAAACUGUGAUGGGCACAGAGAACCAGGCUGAAAACAGAGGAAUAUUAAUCCCCCAAAGUAGAUGUCAAUUCACAAUGAUGAAAAGACUUGAAUCCUCAACUUGUGGCCCUGGUCUUCAGUUUUGCCAAAUCCGCUACUCCAUCAGGACUGGAAGAAGAUCCAUCUGGGACAAUGUUAUGGAGAACAUUGUAGAUUGUGAGAAACAUUUCUUUUGGAGGAAGCUCAAAACCUGAGUGCUUAAAUCGGUUCUCUAAGAUUAAACGUUAUUAUGUGAUGAAAUCAGUGCCAUCUGGCCGGCUGAUGAAUGGGAAACCGUAUUUAGACAAGAUGUCAGCUAUGCUAUUGUGUGUAUAGAUGUGCUGUGUACAAGGAGUUUCACCAACAUAUUGUUUAUGGUGUCCACCACCCACUGAGAGGGAAUUGGUUGGUUUUGUUUUGAGGCGGGAAGAUGACCUUGAAGUGGCAGUCAGCCUAUCUUUACUUGGCAAUCGCUGAGAAUCAGCAUGUAUUGCAAUUUUUAUGCGGUACUAGGGAUCAAACCAGGGCCCUGUUCAUCCUGGGCCAACACUCUACCAAUUAGGCUGUGUCCCCAGCUUUAUUCAUGGGGGAUUAUCUAAACACUUUAUUUUGCAGAAUUCAAUGUAGCUGUUACAAAUAAUGACUCAUUGGAAUGCUAAGGGGUUUUGUUAGAGGAGACCUUUUGUGGUAUGAAAGAGUUGGUGUCCGUGAAUGUGUAGACCAUCUUGAGUAAGCCAUAUGUAUACAAGCAUAUAUAUGAAAAGAUGUUUGAAUAAUUACCUAAAAAUUAGGCAAAUGGGUUAUGUUAAUGUGUGUGUGUGUGUGUGUGUGUGUGUGUGUGUGUGGUGUUGGAGAUGGAAUCUGGGACUUUUUUAUGCUAGGAAAGUGCUCUGACACUGACCCCUAUACCUUCACCCCCCCCCAAACACACACACACACACCACAUCUAAAGUUUGUUCAGUAAUUCUUAUCUUAAAAGCAUGCAUGUUUUGCCUACAUACAUGUAGUAUGUGUACUGUGUGCAUUCAGUGCCUGUAAAGGUCAACUUAGCAUGUUGAAUCCCCUGGAACUGAAGUUACAGAUGGCUGUGAGCUGCCAUGUAGGUCCUAGGUACCAACCCUGGAGCUUCUGCAAGAGCAGCACAUGCUCUCAACUGCUGAGCCACUUCUCAGGCCCCUAUUUUAACUCAUUUACAUAUAAUUGUAUCUGUAAAUUUUGUUUAAAGAUUGCAUGUCAUUUUACUUGCUUUUAUGAAGAUAAUAAAAAAAUGUUGUUUUGAAUAGAA
rnacentral:lncRNA from 1 species